GAACCUGCGGAAGGAUCAUUAAAGAUUUAAUAUUAAUUGUGAAAUUAAAACGAUAUUAACAAAAAAUCAUACAAUCAAUUAUAAAAAAAAUCAAAACUUUUAACAAUGGAUCUCUUGGUUCUCGUAUCGAUGAAGAACGCAGCGAAACGCGAUAUUUCUUGUGAAUUGCAGAAGUGAAUCAUCAGUUUUUGAACGCACAUUGCACUUUGGGGUAUCCCCCAAAGUAUACUUGUUUGAGCGUUGUUUCUCUCUUGGAAUUGCAUUGCUUUUCUAAAAAAUCGAAUCAAAUUCGUUUGAAACAUCCAUUCUUCAACCUCAGAUCAAGUAGGAUUACCCGCUGAACUUAAGCAUAUCAAUA
rnacentral:misc_RNA from 1 species